rnacentral:lncRNA from 1 species
UGCCCACCGACAUACUUGCUUCUGGCCCGUUCUAGAAGCUUCCCUCGCAUGGAGCUUCUGCCUGGCGUGUUCUCUAGUUGCUUCUGGAGAAUUCUCGUGCUCAGCCCCCUUGCUUGCUCUCCUGCGGGCUGGCUCGCCUAUGCCUGUUUGCGCUAUUGCAAGUCGACUGCCACAAUUGUGAUACUCAUGCUGUGUUGCCGAAAAUAGCUUCCUACAUGGAUUUUGCCCCAACUAAACCUCAGUUUUGUGGGGUAAAUUUUUGGGGCGUGGCAAUAAGUACCCAACUAAUUAAUAUUCUUUUGGCAAGUUUUUUUGAUGUGAAGCAUAAAAGUAAC